rnacentral:lncRNA from 1 species
UGAUUCUCAAGUGCAGCAGCUACCGGCAGGCACGGUGGUGGGCCCAAGAGAUCACUGAGCUGGCACAGGGCCCAGGCAGAGACUUCCUACAGCUGCACCGGCAUGACAGCUACGCCCCACCCCGGCCUGGGACCUUGGCCCGGUGAGCUUUCUGGCUUCUGACUCCCCUGACCUCCUUGGCUUGGCCUCCCCCCAGGUUUGUGAAUGGGGCAGGUUACUUUGCUGCUGUGGCAGAUGCCAUCCUUCGAGCUCAAGAGGAGAUUUUCAUCACAGACUGGUGGUUGAGUCCUGAGGUUUACCUGAAGCGUCCGGCCCAUUCAGAUGACUGGAGACUGGACAUUAUGCUCAAGAGGAAGGCGGAGGAGGGUGUCCGUGUGUCUAUUCUGCUGUUUAAAGAAGUGGAAUUGGCCUUGGGCAUCAACAGUGGCUAUAGCAAGA